rnacentral:lncRNA from 1 species
GGAGCCAGCAGCGAGGGAGGCCACAGUGACCUGCACUCAACAGCAUCCGGGGCUUUCCCCAAGAUCAUCACUCACCUCACAGAGCCCUCGCCCCGGCUCAGCGCUCACGGAGGCCGAGAUGUUUACAAAACAGGAGAUUUUCCCAAAGUCCACCACCGCAAACCUGCAACAACCUGCUCUUUUUAGAUCACAGGGACUGAGUUUUGUGGCUGAGAUAAAAUCAAUUAGGGCUCCGGGCAUGGGGGCGCUGGACCCGGAGCCUCGGCGGCCCCCCUACUCCUUAGGGUGACCCCAGCUCCACACAGACCUGACCCUAUCCUCCUUCCCCACCCUCCCCCGGAACACUCCAGCCAGAGCUGCCCACCCCACAGGCCCUGCCUCCUGGGCUUGGCCCUGCCUUUCCCCAGCCCUCCAGACUCCACAGCUCUCAAGCAAGGGCCGGGGCCACAGGGCCAGCUCCCGGAAAGAGGACGCUGGGCGGUCCUGCGCAACUGCUAAAAAAUGGACACCAUUUCCCACAAAGGGGCCCAAGUCUGGCAAGGCGGCCAGUGCUGCCACCCGAGUCCAGGGUUCCUCCCUGCCCCACCCCCAUACAGAGAGAAUGCUGGCCGCGUGACGUCCGCACACCGCUCAGCUCAGGAAUUAUUCACGGCUCACUGCUACCUCGACAGACCGCUGGCAGGAGGUCAGGAAAGAUCAGAUAGGGCGGAGGCUCGCCUCUGCCCAGGACAACCCCAGAGAACCCCUUUGUCAGCCAUGGAGGCCUCCAGGCCUGGCCUCAGUGGUCAGACUGCAGGCUCACAGCCAGGCCACCCCAAGCCUCAGUUUCUUUACGAGCAAAAGGUGGGGGAGACCAGCUCGUGUAGCUCGGGGCCGCCAUGAGUGCCAGGGCACCCAACCUGUGGCAGGACCUGGGCACUGAGCCGUGACCUCUAGGCCAAGACAACCCACCAUGCGCUUCUCGGGCCCUGGGCCGAUGCAAGAGGAGAAGAAACUGUACUGGGUGCCCCCAGACAACCAGGGCAGCCCCAGCCCUGCAACUGGAAGGACGGAGGCAGGAGGGAAGGAGGGCGGGCCGAGGACGGCCAUCAGUUAAAACCACACAGCAGUUGCGUUCUGUCCCGCCCACUGGUCAGCCCUUGUAGAACACCCGCCGGUCACAUGGCAGGCGGAAGUUCCAUCCGGGAAAAGCAGCCGGCUGGUCCCACUUCCGGAGGGAGUGAAACCGAGCUUGGGGCGCCAACGCUAGCGGGCAAUGGCAGACACCCGCCCCCAACCGCGCCCCCACUCCGUGGCGGGGUCAAAGGAAGAGCCACGCCAGCAAACCUCUACACUCUACAUGCUUUUUAUUACAAGACUACUGACCAUACGAGGAAAAUUCAUCAUCUGGUAACUACACCUAAAGCACAAGUAUUUGGAAAAAAAAAAAGGAUAAACAGAUUCAUUAAAUUAUAUGAUUAAAUCACUGACCCAAUAGAAAAUUUAUAUAAUAAAGCCAGAAAAAAAGUUGUAAAAUAUAGUUUACAAUAAUUAUUCACAUUCAAGGCUGUACAUCAAUACAUACAACAACGUGGCCCCGAACAUGAAUUCAAUUCAAAUAAUUCAUAUAUUAGAAUUUAAAUAACACAGACUGAACUAGAGGCCAACAAUAGCCAGCAAAUAACCUUAUAUAAGAAUAAAAAUACAAAAGUGUAUAUCCUAGUAUCAUUGCAUUUGUUUUCAUAAGUUCUUUUAAUUUUUGCUUUGUCUGUACAUCACAGUUACAGCUACAGACCAGGUAGAGAAUAUUACGCAUGUUCUGCUUGCCACCCACCUGAAAGACGUACUAGUCAUUUAUCCUAUUUUAUGUUGUGAAGGAACAGCUACAGCAGCUCUAAAUACUGUAACAAUUUAAUUUUGCCAACAUCCAACUUACUUACAGUCGUAAUAGAGGCUUUUACCAGCACAAUGACCCCUAUUCGUAGUCAUUCUGCCAGGUGGUUAGGCUAUGUGGGUUACACAGCUUAAAAAAGGUCUGCCUUUUGUAAAAAGUUCUCUGUACAUAGUUUGGUGUUUCUUCAUAUGGAAGAAAUGAGUUACGGGGAAAAUUCAGGUACACACGUAGGCUCGUUCAGUUGCUCACCACAGCCAUCUCAACAGAUGAAAGUGCUCUUUGUUGGAAACAGCUUCCUCCUCACACCAGUUCUCCACAGGCAGCCUCAUCUACAACCCUGCAAUUUUGGGCCAGAAGUGGUGGCCCCUCAGAGGCUCUGAAGUGCCUCCAGCCCCGAUUCAGGCACUUGCCACGUGUGCUGCGUAAGAAGGGACCCCCACCCAGUGAGUCAACAUAGGCUCAUGUCAAGUUUGAAAAUAACUGGGGAAAAGUGUAUGACAACAUCUUCCAGAACAAAGUACCUUCACCGUAUUCUCACAGCAGCUGCGAUCUCUGAAGUCUCAGCAGUGACCACCCCGGGUCUGUCAACCAGCCAGGCAAGGGGGGGCCCUCAGGCUUCAGAGGGCAAGAAACCAAAUUCCGUGCAAUUUGGCCAUAAUCUCUGGUAGAGUGAAGCAGCACUGAACACGGUGCCUAGAAAAACCUCCUGCACGUUCCCCUGCACAAUCAAUGGACCCCAACUACAGUGGAGAAAUGAAGAAUCCAACCAAAUUUGGGUGGUCUGGACUUGCUGCCAGCCAGGCAAUCUGCAACACUGUGGGCAGGGAGUUGGGGGGGGCGGCCUGAAAUCUACACCAGCUGGGACAACCACGCCCUACAAUGAAAAAGCCAGCCUGGCUGCUGGGCUCUUGUGAACCACUAAGACCUGAAGGUGGGGCCCCACGGGUGGAAGGGGGAGACAAAUGCACUCUUGUAAAACCCAAUCAGCUACGUGGUUUUUUUCAAAGAGGCUUUGCUCUGCUACUGAUUCCAAAUGUCCUAAUAUACCUUCUGAGUCUAUAAACUUAAUUACAAAUCACUCACUAAGCAUGUGGCAAGGUCAGUUCAACACUUGUUAUCUCUGCUGACUGUGCAGAUGCAAAUUCAGUACCAUUGUGGACACGAAGUACAAGAUUCUGCCAAGCGCUUGAAAGCCACGGCAGCAGGGAGGGCAGAGAGCUGACAUGCAGGCAGAGCCAGGUUCUUGCAACCAAAACAAGGAAAUUGGCUCUUGGAAAAAAUCGGCCACAGAUGGAUUGCAGUAGUGACAUCCUCUUAGCAUUUAAAUAAAGAGCGGUCUUAUUCAGACAUUCUUUGGAACACAUGGCUUAUCAGAAACCGAUUUGUUCAGAAUCUGUAAGACACAACUAAGGUGGUUCUGCUACUGGAAGUGAGCGUCUACACAUCAGGUCGAGAGAGAGACAGAAAUAUCUUCAAAAUGAACAAACUCUUUCA